CCCUGUGGGGUCUGGGGGGUCCCUAUGGGGGUUUCUAUGGGGUCUGGGGGGUCCAUUUAUGGCUUAUAUGAGACAAGUGGGCGUGGCCACACGAGGCCACGCCCCUCGGUGGGCGGGACGCCCGCUGACCACGCCCACUUCCGACAGUUACCUCCUGGGUGGCUCCGCCUCUUCUGGCAGCGACGGGGAGGAGGAGCCAACUGAAGCUCCGCCCACCUCCCACCAACGCCCCGCCCAUGUGGGCGGUGCUACCACGGCUAAGCCCCGCCCCCCGACACCGCCCUCGUCCAAUGGCAACACUCCUGAAGGUGACGCUGAGGACAGCGCUGGGGACACAGAGGACGAAUUGCGGCGGUGAGACCCCAUUGGUGACCCCGCGGUGACCCCAUGCUGACCCCCCAAGUACCCACUGUGAUGACCUUGUGGUGACCCCAUCACCUUGUGGCGACCCCGUGGUGACCCCUGUGACCCUGGGUGACCCCUGAGUGACCCCGUGGUGACCCUGGGUGACCUCUGUGACCCUGAGUGACCCCUGGGUGAUCUCAUGAUUCUGUGACCCCGUUCUGACCCCUUGGUGACCCCUGUGACCCCUGGGUGGUCCCAUGACCCCGUGCUGACCCCGCGGUGACCCCGUGACCCCGUGGUGACCCCGUGACCCCGCAGGGUGACCUCGCUGCCCCCCGAUGACCCCUAUGGCGGCUCCACAGAGGAGAACACCGACAGCGACGACGACCCCAUCCCCCCACUGCCCGGUGCGACCCCCUGAC
rnacentral:lncRNA from 1 species